GCAAAGGAGUCAGUAGACAUAAAAUAUACACUAGUUUACGGAACGUGUGCUUCCAUGUAUCUGUGUGGGGCAGGAUGAACAAUGGCCUCAAUUGCUCGAGAGUCUGUGUCGCUGGAUGAGCUGUAGCAUAAUGGUGGAAGCCCUUUCCUCUUUAGAGAAGAAAACAGCGGUUGGAUAGAGGCAACAGCAGCAGGCGAGUCUGUGCCGACACAUGGACUCACAUUGUCACACGGAUUUUAAGCUUUUCUGUCAGAUGGGAUCCUCCAGCAGCUCAGUGGAACAGCCUUUCUGGACACUGCUGAUCUAAAUCAAAGUGUUACUCCUCUUUUAACAUGAAAUCCAAAUAUUGGUCAUGCCUCCCC